ACCUUUGACGAUUGACUCAUGUUGCCUCGGCGGGUCCUCCCGCCAGAGGAUACAUCAAAACUCCUGUUUUAACGGUGUUGUCUGAGCUACAAGCAACGAAUCAAAACUUUCAACAACGGAUCUCUUGGUUCUGGCAUCGAUGAAGAACGCAGCGAAAUGCGAUAAGUAGUGUGAAUUGCAGAAUUCAGUGAAUCAUCGAAUCUUUGAACGCACAUUGCGCCCCUUGGUAUCCCGAGGGGCAUGCCUGUUCGAGCGUCAUUUCACCACUCAAGCCUGGCUUGGUGUUGGGCGACGUCCCCCUUUAGGGACGCACCUCGAAACGCUCGGCGGCGUGGCACUGGCUUUAAGCGUAGCAGAAUCUUUCGCUUUGAAAGUCGGGGCCCCGUCUGCCGGAAGACCUACUCACAAGGUUGACCUCGGAUCAGGUAGGGAUACCCGCUGAACUUAAGCAUAUCAAUAAGCGGAGGAAUUGUUCUCA
rnacentral:rRNA from 1 species